rnacentral:rRNA from 1 species
UUUAUGGAGAGUUUGAUCCUGGCUCAGGAUGAACGCUGGCGGCGUGCCUAAUACAUGCAAGUCGAGCGAACAGAUAAGGAGCUUGCUCCUUUGACGUUAGCGGCGGACGGGUGAGUAACACGUGGGUAACCUACCUAUAAGACUGGAAUAACUCCGGGAAACCGGGGCUAAUGCCGGAUAACAUGUUGAACCGCAUGGUUCUACAGUGAAAGACGGUCUUGCUGUCACUUAUAGAUGGACCCGCGCCGUAUUAGCUAGUUGGUGGGGUAACGGCCUACCAAGGCGACGAUACGUAGCCGACCUGAGAGGGUGAUCGGCCACACUGGAACUGAGACACGGUCCAGACUCCUACGGGAGGCAGCAGUAGGGAAUCUUCCGCAAUGGGCGAAAGCCUGACGGAGCAACGCCGCGUGAGUGAUGAAGGUCUUCGGAUCGUAAAGCUCUGUUGUUAGGGAAGAACAAAUGUGUAAGUAACUGUGCACAUCUUGACGGUACCUAACCAGAAAGCCACGGCUAACUACGUGCCAGCAGCCGCGGUAAUACGUAGGUGGCAAGCGUUAUCCGGAAUUAUUGGGCGUAAAGCGCGCGUAGGCGGUUUUUUAAGUCUGAUGUGAAAG